rnacentral:lncRNA from 1 species
AUAUAUUUUUUCAGUUGAGACAGGAUCUCACUAUGUUGCCUAGCAUGGACUGGAACUCCUUGGCUCAAGAAAUGUUCUUGCCUCAGCCUCCCAAAUAGCUAGGACUAUACACACAUACUACUACACCUAGUGGAAAAUGAAGCACAGAGAAGUUCAGUGAUGGACCUCAGAUACUACCAGCAGAAAGCAGAAGAGCUAGGAUUUCAACUUAGGAUGUCUGGAUCCACAGUCUGCACUCCUAGCCACUAUGCUACACUGCCUCUAACUAUGAGGAAGCAGGGGCAUUUUUUUUUUUUCUGGUGACUAAAAAGAUAAGAGUUCAGGUACGUGGCUCCUGAUAAUCUAACUUAUACAGCCUGGAAAAAUUGAUAGUUACUAUAUCCAGACUGUCUCAUUCAAUUAACAGUUUCUCAAGUAAUCUUCUAAUUACUGUCAUAUUUUAUCUGUAUCAACUUAGCAAACCAAGUCCAAAACAUUUUAUAUGUGUCUAUCUUUCCUGCUGUUCAUAUUAUUGAGUUAGCCAAAUAAAUUCAUUUUUUUUUCUACUGUUUGUUUCUCACAAAUUAUGACUGGCAUCUGUAUAUCUGUGAAGGUUCUACUGCAUUCCUGUAUUAUCACUAUAUGAUUAUAAGAGAUCACAGAGUGCAUUGAUGAAGGCCAUGUUGAGACAUGAUGAAACAGGGUCCAUUGUGACUGGGUGAAACUGUCUUCAAUUUCCUGGUCUAUAAAGCAGAGGUGAGAACAACUGACUCAUAGCAUUGCGGUGAAUAUUAGAUUAAAUAAGAU